rnacentral:rRNA from 1 species
GAUGAGCGCUGGCGGCGUGCUUAACACAUGCAAGUCGAACGGUGAACGAGGGAGCUUGCUCCCUCCGGAUCAGUGGCGAACGGGUGAGUAACACGUGAGCAAUCUGCCCUGGACUCUGGGAUAAGCGUUGGAAACGACGUCUAAUACCGGAUACGAGGCGUGGGGGCAUCCCCAACGCCUGGAAAGAACUUCGGUCCAGGAUGAGCUCGCGGCCUAUCAGCUAGUUGGUGAGGUAACGGCUCACCAAGGCGACGAAGGGUAGCCGGCCUGAGAGGGUGACCGGCCACACUGGGACUGAGACACGGCCCAGACUCCUACGGGAGGCAGCAGUGGGGAAUAUUGCGCAAUGGGCGAAAGCCUGACGCAGCAACGCCGCGUGAGGGAUGACGGCCUUCGGGUUGUAAACCUCUUUCAGCGGGGACGAAGCGAAAGUGACUGUACCCGCAGAAGAAGCGCCGGCUAACUACGUGCCAGCAGCCGCGGUAAGAC